rnacentral:rRNA from 1 species
AUCGAACGCUGGCGGCAGGCCUAACACAUGCAAGUCGAGCGGAGCUGCGGACGUGUGAGUACUGCCUCGGAAUCUGCCUGUUAGUGGGGUAUAACGUCCGGAAACGGGCGCUAAUACCGCAUACUAUCAGAUCAGCCUCGGUGGGAUUUGCUAGUUGGUGUGGUAAAGGCUUAACAAGUCGACGCUCCUGAACUGAUCUGAGAGGAUGAUCAGUCACACUGGAACUGAGACACGGGCCAGACUCCUACGGGAGGCAGCAGUGGGGAAUAUUGGGCAAUGGGCGAAAGCCUGAUCCAGCCAUGCCGCGUGUGUGAAGAAGGUCUUCGGAUUGUAAAGCACUUUAAGUUGGGAGGCGUUACCAACAGAAUAAGCACCGGCUAACUUCGUGCCAGCAGCCGCGGUAAUAC